rnacentral:rRNA from 1 species
CAUGCAAGUCGAACGAAGUAGCAAUACUUAGUGGCAGACGGGUGAGUAACAUGUGGGUAUCCUCCCCUUGGUGAGGAAUAACACGAGGAAACUUGUGCUAAUACCUCAUAAGUCUUUACGGAGAAAGCUUUAUGCGCCAAUGGAUGAGCCCGCACUUGAUUAGUUUGUUGGUGGGGUAACGGCCUACCAAGACUUUGAUCAAUAGCUGAUCUGAGAGGAUGAUCAGCCACAUUGGGACUGAGACACGGCCCAAACUCCUACGGGAGGCAGCAGUAGGGAAUAUUGCACAAUGGAGGAAACUCUGAUGCAGCGAUGCCGCGUGAGUGAAGAAGGCCUUUGGGUUGUAAAGCUCUUUCGUCGGGGAAGAAAAUGACGGUACCCGAAUAAGAAGGUCCGGCUAACUUCGUGCCAGCAGCCGCGGUAAUACGAAGGGACCUAGCGUAGUUCGGAAUUACUGGGCUUAAAGAGUUCGUAGGUGGUUAAAAAAGUUGGUUGUGAAAUCCCGAAGCUUAACUUCGGAACUGCAAUCAAAACUUUUUAGCUAGAGUAUGAUAGAGGAAAGCAGAAUUUCUAGUGUAGAGGUGAAAUUCGUAGAUAUUA